GGGGGUGUAAAGGUUUCGACGGGGGUGUUGAAGCCGGAUAAGCGAGCCGUGGCCGCCGGAUCCACGUAAAAAGCUGGCCGUUAAAUACAAACGCAAACAAUAACAAUUUCGCAUUUGCUGCCUAGUAUCGCAGCCCGCGCGUCACUCCGGGUUUACCUGUAGGCUCGGAUGCUGGCGUCGACUAUACAGGAAAACUUCGCUGUGAUGCCCGUAGCAGCGAGGGACUAACGGGAUAACUCAGACUGUGGCCUGCCGAUGGGCAGCAGGCUGGGCGAAAACUCAAUCAUCGGAUGCGCUCGGAGAAAGUCUAGUGAAUGUGCUUUCGGACGUGGGUUCGACUCCCACCACUUCCACCA
rnacentral:tmRNA from 1 species